CCCACUCUGAAAGGCAAGCUAGUUC
rnacentral:piRNA from 1 species